GUGCUGCUGCAGCGUCAAGUUUUCGCCAUGUCGAAGAAACGCUGUUUUUUUUCACCCCGUGCCCAAACGUCUUUUUCCUUCCUAAAACGGACGACGUCAGGAAACAGUGGUUGCAAUUUAUUUUUAACUCAGUACCAAAUUAGGGUUAUAACGCUCAGGAACAGUGUGCUGCGCAUUUUACUGAGGACAGCUUCCACAACAAACAAUGGGAGUACAGUGCUGGUUUCGCCAAAAAGCUUUUGCUGAAAGACGGAGCAGUUCCCACUUAUAAAUUGCUGACAGUACAAUACUGGACAAUGACGCAAUCUGCAGAAUUUACACUUCAAUUAUGAGACUAUGAUAUAAAUAAUUCAACUGUAUAACAGUUUCACUGCAAUUCAUGUUAUAAUGUUAGAAUUAAAGAAUAAUAAACAUAAUACAUAUUACCAUUGCUGUAACGGGGCUGACGAGACGCGAGACAUGCGGAUCCAAGUGCAAGCUUUUAUUUAUAGGCAUGGUCAUAAAUACAGGUAGGGUUGAGCAAUGGCAAACAGGUAUGGCAGGGACAAGACAAAGAGUAAUCCUAGGGCAAGCGAAGGUCGACGAUCGGCAAACAGUAUCCAGUGGGCAAGGCAGAGAGAUAAUCCAUGAGCUAUAAUCCAGGCAAGGGAAAUAAUCAGAGUCCGAACAGGGAGACAGGGGUAAACAGUGGGAACACAGACUAGAAAACAACAAAAGUUCCGUAUCACAGCUAAUACUAGGGGAGUGAAAAACGCAGGACAAUACAGGAACUGAACAGAAACACGGAAUGGCACAGAAAGGGUUAAUCCAGGAAACACGGGUAGAAAUAAACACAGGAGAACAGGUAAUGCACGACUAGGAUUACUAACAAGGGCUCUGUAGAGUAGCUACGGCUAGGGGAGCGGUAAACGCAUACAAUACUCAGCCAUGAGGGAAACAAAGUCCAGGGUUUAAAUAGUGUGUGUGAUUAGUGAGUGCGUGGGAUCAGGUGUGCGUGUGAUUAGUGCAAUCAGCGCAAUGAAUGAUGGGAAUUGGAGUCCAGUGUUAUGUAUGGUGUGAGAGCCCAUGUGGUGAGCGAGUGACCUCUGGUGGUGAAUGAACGGAAGUGCAGACCAGAUUCGUGACAGUUGCACUUAUCUGUACAUAGUAAAUGCAGUUAUUUUAAGCGGUUGUUGACAUUGUAUCUAAAACAUGAUUUAGCCCAAAAAAAAAAACAAUAACGUUACCACUCUAAUAUGUCUUGCAAUAUCUGUGCGUGCAAAGGUUCUGUGCAAUCCCAGGUUCUUGUUCAAUGUUCUUGGGGUCUGAAUCCGGCUCAAAUUGAUAUGGCAAUAUUGACGCCAGACAGAACUUGCUGCUUUGGCAAGGGGCGUGGCAGUACUGAAACACCGUCUAAGCUGUUCGCCAAUCACAACGCACUGGGACAGCUAACCAAUCACAACACAUUUUGUUUUUUGGAAGGCGGGCCUUCAUCAAACCCGGAACUAAUCGAGCCGUUUGUGCCAGGCUGGGCAGAAAGAUAUUGUAAUAAUGUAAAUUAUGUGAAAAAUAAUGCGUUUUUCGAACCACCAAGCACGAGAGCAUGUUCUAGUACACCCCCAAAACAAAAUCAAGACUUUGUAAAAGAGCAUAAUAGGACCCCUUUAAGGUGGCAAACAAAAUAUGGGCCAGUUGUUAAAUGUAUUAUUUUGCCCAGAUGUAAAAUAUAUAACUGUGGGCCACAUAUGUGUGGCCAGUCUUAUCCCACAGUUAAAAUGUAAUUUCAGAUAUUUCAGAUAGUAAGGUGAUAAUAUUUUCAUACACACAGCUGUUUUCCCCUAUUCCUGUGUGCAAUGUGGGUUUAUUGCUCUCUAUCAACAAGGUUUAACAAACAAAUAAUUUUAAUUAUUAAACACCAUUAACUUUAAAUGUAUUGUAAAGUAAUUUACAAUAGAGGACAACAGAAGUACACUGUAACACUCUUGAGGCUGCACCUCAUGGACUUCUCAACUCUGGAGCAAAAGCGAGCUAAGUUUGGUAAGUGAUAAUUGGAAACAUUUUAAUAUAUUUAGUUUGACGUUGCUUUUACUCACCAAGUACAUUUAAAAGAAGAAGAAUGUAGGAGGAAGAAUGUAUUUUAUUGUUUUUUUGAUUAAUUGGUGGUGCACAACAUUUACUAAUAAUAAUUAAUAUGUUUAAUAUGAUUGAUAUGUUCUUCGACCUAAAAAUAAUCUUUUCCCUGAGGAAGAUGAUGAUGAGAAGCACCAUCAAAGAAAAAAAAAUCAAAAAGGUGCUCCAAAAGAUCAUCAGGCAGCACAAAACUCCUGCAUUAGACCCAGUAAAGCAAAACAGCCCCAACAAGACCACAGCACUGCUGACUUCCACCGAAAAGAUCCAUCGAAGAGGCCACAGCAGUCCUGAGCUUUACCCAAGUGAUGACAGCACUCCUAAGCUCUACUUAAAUGGCCACAACACUCCUGAGCUCUACCCAAGAGGCCAUAGCAGUCCUGAGCUCAACCCAAGUGGCCACAGUAGUCCUGACCUCCACCCAAGAGGCCACAACAGUCAUAAGCUCCACCCAAGUCACUAAUAAUAUAUCAAGCAGGCACAUCAUCACUGAGAGCUGUACAUCGAGGCACGCCAGCCCUGAGAUCCGUCCAUUAAGCCCUCCUGCGUAAUAUAUUAACGAAACAGGAAAUGAUGAUGGACCAACUGCGAAUCAUCUUCAAGACCCUUCAGAGUAUGAAAUUGACUGAAGAGUCACAUACAAAGCUGGAUCGAAUUUUGUCACCACUUAAAGAUGUCAGUUCUCUUCAGGACAUGGAGGAACAACUGCAUAGUAAUCCUGACCUCCAGAAACAGUUGGUAAACACACUGGCUCUCAAAGGUGGGGCGCACGUUCACGAGUGCAUUUGGAGGAUUAUGCAUGGACUGGUUACAAACUCUUUGGCCAAAAAAAAUCAACAUGAGAGGAAUUAACGGAAAGAUUGGUUUCCAGCGCUUCCAUUUAGGGGAUGUUGUGAUUGCAGCUGUGAGACGUAACCGCCUGACGUCUGUGGCCACAGAAAAAGAAAUCGACUCCACCAUCAAAAGAUGGCUAUAUCUGGCCCCGGAUAGGGAUGGUGGCAGGAGAGAGAGGAUGAAGAGAAAAUAGCGUCAGGAGAGAACAACAGAAAUCGUAGGAACGGAGCGAGGCCAGUGGAGUUAAUGAUAAUGAGCGACACCUGUGCCACUCACCGGUCUCGAGUCCCACGGAGGAGCUCUGGAAGGAUAAAAGGAGGAGCGACGACAGUGCAAGACGAGAGAGGACCAGGCCUGGGGCCUCAUGUACAGAUGCAUCUCAAUAAAUUAGAAUGUCGUGGAAAAGUUCAUUUAUUUCAGUAAUUCAACUCAAAUUGUGAAACUCGUGUAUUAAAUAAAUUCAG